rnacentral:misc_RNA from 1 species
AUUGGUUUGUGUUGGUGCGUUGGAUCCCUGCUCAGGCAGCGACGAUGCGUCACGCAUGCCUCUUCAGUUGGGGGCUUGAGCAUGUCUCGGCCAUUGUCGGUUUCCUGUGCUGAAUACCCAUUGCAUAGGCAUAAUACGGUUUGAAGCAUCAAGUUCCGCCUUGUGCUGCACCCCUCGCGGAUGCAGUGCCGGGUGGACAUCAAAGCACAUGACGUGUCCCACCUCACCUUCACAACUACGUGCAAGGGUUGUUGGCCCAUGUUAUUGUGCGCGAUAUCUCGGAUAUUGAACACUGAGGGGGUACGAGGUCAUCGACCUCAAUUUUGCCUAAACUACAAGCGUUCUACGCUUUGUGCGAACGACUAUCGAAUACGUGUUGAAUGGGUCCUAGUGGCUCAAUCUCAUGCGUGUCCGACGUCGAUGAGGGA